rnacentral:rRNA from 1 species
CUACGGGCGGCUGCAGUGGGGAAUAUUGCACAAUGGAGGGAACUCUGAUGCAGCAACGCCGCGUGGAGGAUGACGCAUUUCGGUGUGUAAACUCCUUUUAUAUAGGAAGAUAAUGACGGUACUAUAUGAAUAAGCACCGGCUAACUCCGUGCCAGCAGCCGCGGUAAUACGGAGGGUGCAAGCGUUACUCGGAAUCACUGGGCGUAAAGCGCAUGCAGGCGGUUAAAUAAGUUGGAAGUGAAAUCCUAUGGCUCAACCAUAGAACUGCUUCCAAAACUGUUUAACUAGAGUCUGGGAGGGGAAGAUGGAAUUAGUAGUGUAGGGGUAAAAUCCGUAGAGAUUACUAGGAAUACCAAAAGCGAAGGCGAUCUUCUGGAACAGUACUGACGCUGAGAUGCGAAAGCGUGGGGCGCAAACAGGAUUAGAUACCCCCGUAGUC